CGUGCUUAACACAUGCAAGUCGAACGAUUAAAGCCCCUUCGGGGGUGUAUAGAGUGGCGAACGGGUGAGUAACACGUGGGCAACCUGCCCUGUGCUUCGGGAUAACUCAAGGAAACUUGAGCUAAUACCGGAUACUCCGGACUGACCGCAUGAUCGGUCCGGGAAAGUUCCGGCGGCACAGGAUGGGCCCGCGGCCCAUUAGCUAGUUGGUGAGGUAACGGCCCACCAAGGCGACGAUGGGUAGCCGAGCUGAGAGGUCAAUCCCCCACACGGGCACUGAGAUACGGGCCAGACUCCUACGGGAGGCAGCAGUAGGGAAUAUUGGGCAAUGGACGCAAGUCUGACCCAGCCAUGCCGGGUGCAGGAUGAAGGCGUUAUGCGUUGUAAACUGCUUUUAUACAGGAAGAAACGACUCUUGCGAGAGGCAUUGACGGUACUGUAUGAAUAAGCACCGGCUAACUCCGUGCCAGCCGCCGCGGUAAAAC
rnacentral:rRNA from 1 species